rnacentral:tRNA from 1 species
UAGCUCAGCCGGAUAGAGCAAUCCCCUCCUAAGGGAUAGGUCGGCGGUUCGAAUCC